rnacentral:misc_RNA from 1 species
UACGAAGGGUGCAAGCGUUAAUCGGAAUUACUGGGCGUAAAGCGCGCGUAGGUGGUUCGUUAAGUUAGGAGUGGAAGCCCCGGGCUCAACCUGGGAAUUGCUUCUAAAACUGGCGAGCUAGAGUAUGGUAGAGGGUGGUGGAAUUUCCUGUGUAGCGGUGAAAUGCGUAGAUAUAGGAAGGAACAUCAGUGGCGAAGGCGACCACCUGGACUAAUACUGACACUGAGGUGCGAAAGCGUGGGGAGCAAACAGG